AGAGUUUGAUCCUGGCUCAGAUUGAACGCUGGCGGCAUGCCUUACACAUGCAAGUCGAACGGUAACAGGUCUUCGGACGCUGACGAGUGGCGAACGGGUGAGUAAUACAUCGGAACGUGCCCAGUCGUGGGGGAUAACUACUCGAAAGAGUAGCUAAUACCGCAUACGAUCUGAGGAUGAAAGCGGGGGACCUUCGGGCCUCGCGCGAUUGGAGCGGCCGAUGGCAGAUUAGGUAGUUGGUGGGAUAAAAGCUUACCAAGCCGACGAUCUGUAGCUGGUCUGAGAGGACGACCAGCCACACUGGGACUGAGACACGGCCCAGACUCCUACGGGAGGCAGCAGUGGGGAAUUUUGGACAAUGGGCGAAAGCCUGAUCCAGCAAUGCCGCGUGCAGGAUGAAGGCCUUCGGGUUGUAAACUGCUUUUGUACGGAACGAAAAAGCUUCUCCUAAUACGAGAGGCCCAUGACGGUACCGUAAGAAUAAGCACCGGCUAACUACGUGCCAGCAGCCGCGGUAAUACGUAGGGUGCGAGCGUUAAUCGGAAUUACUGGGCGUAAAGCGUGCGCAGGCGGUUAUGUAAGACAGAUGUGAAAUCCCCGGGCUCAACCUGGGAACUGCAUUUGUGACUGCAUGGCUAGAGUACGGUAGAGGGGGAUGGAAUUCCGCGUGUAGCAGUGAAAUGCGUAGAUAUGCGGAG
rnacentral:rRNA from 1 species